rnacentral:rRNA from 1 species
GACGAACGCUGGCGGCGUGCCUAAUACAUGCAAGUCGAGCGAGCGGAACUAACAGAUUUACUUCGGUAAUGACGUUAGGAAAGCGAGCGGCGGAUGGGUGAGUAACACGUGGGGAACCUGCCCCCUAGUCUGGGAUACCACUUGGAAACAGGUGCUAAUACCGGCUAAGAAAGCAGAUCGCAUGAUCAGCUUUUAAAAGGCGGCGUAAGCUGUCGCUAUGGGAUGGCCCCGCGGUGCAUUAGCUAGUUGGUAAGGUAAAGGCUUACCAAGGCGAUGAUGCAUAGCCGAGUUGAGAGACUGAUCGGCCACAUUGGAACUGAGACACGGCCCAAACUCCUACGGGAGGCAGCAGUAGGGAAUCUUCCACAAUGGGCGCAAGUCUGAUGGAGCAACGCCGCGUGAGUGAAGAAGGUUUUCGGAUCGUAAAGCUCUGUUGUUGGUGAAGAAGGAUAGAGGUAGUAACUGGGCUUUAUUUGACGGUAAUCAACCAGAAAGUCACGGCUAACUACGUG